ensembl:snoRNA SNORD83 Small nucleolar RNA SNORD83
GCCACAUGAUGUUUUCAUUUUGAAAGAUAAGCGCUUUGCGCAAUGACGACUUGAAUCUAUCACCCUUGACUGAUGGCU